CCUAGCUACGAACCUGAACAUAUGCGUGUCCAGGAAGUGCAUUUUGAAAUUUUUUUAUGAUUAGUAUUUUUAUUGCUAUUAGAUGAUAAAAUAUGAAUAGUAAUUUAUGUGUGACUAAAUAUUUUUAAUUUUUUCAUAAAUUUUUCAAAUAAGACGGACGGUCAAACGUUGAACGUGAAUAGUGCAAAACUGCACUUAUU
rnacentral:pre_miRNA from 1 species